rnacentral:tRNA from 2 species
GGGGCCAUAGCUCAGAUGGGAGAGCGCUUGCAUGGCAUGCAAGAGGUCGGGGGUUCGAUCCCCCCUGGCUCCACCA